UACGAAAGGAGCAAGUGUUAUCCGGAAUCACUGGGCGUAAAGCGUCUGUAGGUGGUUUAAAAAGUCUACUGUUAAAAAUUGAAGCUUAACUUCAAAGAUGCCGUAGAAACUUUUAAACUCGAGGAUGGUAGGGGUAGAGGGAAUUUCCAGUGGAGCGGUGAAAUGCGUAGAUCUUGGAAAGACCACCAAUGGCGAAGGCACUCUACUGGGCCAUUACUGACACUAAGAGACGAAAGCUAGGGGAGCAAAUGGG
rnacentral:rRNA from 1 species